rnacentral:rRNA from 1 species
AUUGAACGCUGGCGGCAUGCCUUACACAUGCAAGUCGAACGGUAACAGGUUAAGCUGACGAGUGGCGAACGGGUGAGUAAUGUAUCGGAACGUGCCCAGUCGUGGGGGAUAACUGCUCGAAAGAGCAGCUAAUACCGCAUACGACCUGAGGGUGAAAGCGGGGGAUCGCAAGACCUCGCGCGAUUGGAGCGGCCGAUAUCAGAUUAGGUAGUUGGUGGGGUAAAGGGCUACCAAGCCUACGAUCUGUAGCUGGUCUGAGAGGACGACCAGCCACACGGGGACUGUGCACCGGCUCGGACUCCUACGGGAGGCAUCAUUGGGGAAUUUUGGACAAUGGACGCAAGUCUGAUCCAGCCAUGCCGCUUGCGGGAAAUAGGCCUUCGGCUUGUAAACCGCUUUUGUCAGGGAAGAACAGGUUCUGUUUAAUCCCUGGGACUCAGGGCGGUACCUGAAGAAUGAGCACCGGCUAACUACGUGCCAGCCGCCGCCGUAACAC